GGAUGCUCAAGGUAAACAGUAGGACCUUUUAAAUCAAAUCAUGGGCAAAUCAAUACAUACAAAUAAAACUUAUUCUCGCUUCAGAAUGUAGCUUUUUAAAAGUUUUAUCAAAGCUGUUAAGAUCAUUUGCAAUAAAUUACUGAGUUCUUUAAGUAUAUUCACUUGGUAAACAUUAUAUACCAAACGGAUCCAGAGGAAAAGAUGUGUGAAAACUUUAUAAAAACACAAAAUAGUUUUAGUUAGAGCUUGUGUUAGUGCAGAGCCACACACAUUGCUGAGUUCCUUUUCUACAAAAGUUCUUUUCCUCCAUUUAAUGCAAGCUGGAUAUUUUGGGGCAGGCAUACUUUCAAAGGGGUGAAAAUCACUACUUAAAUUUUCAGUACUUUGAAUGUAAAUUAGGUAAGUUUCAAUAGUUUCUUUUCAGGCGGAUUCAAGUUCAUAUUUUAUCUUGAAUAUCAAAUGGAUAGUGACUAUCAAGUUCAGCACUUGAGAUCUCCUUGAUAACCAGAAUGUUAUUUAGUAGCUUUGUUUCACUCAUUGUGGCUAAGCAUGUGCAGUUUAUGAGCCGUUUGAAGGAGAAGCCCCCGAACUGAGACCCAAAGAUCCUAAUCCAGGUGAUCAGAAUUUGCAACAGAUUAACUCUUCAAAAAACUGGGAUAAAAUUUCUUUUAAAAGUAAAAGACUUCUUGAGCAUCCUGAGGAUAGUGAACCUGCAGAGGCAUUUCAGUAGGCAGAAGAUGGCUUUUUUGUUCUUGUUCACUGCAGAUCCAUGAGAAAGUUUACUUUCUCUGCAUAAAACUUCAUGGACAAGAGAAAUUGAAAAGAAAUGUAAUAUCAUUGUUGGUUGGGUUGAUGACCACAAUGUGACUGCAAUUUAGCAUUUUAGAAACCUGAAGCACACUGAGGUUAAAUAGAUAGCUCUCAGGUAACAAUAAAGAGAGAUAAUAAAUCAACGUAAGAAUUCUUAAGAUUUUGGCUUCAGUCAUAUGCUCCGGGCACUGAUCUACACUGUACUCAUGUAAUUUAUUCCUUUCUGUGGGAUUAUUCAGCUUUUCCAUUUUUUCACCAUCAUAAAUUUUGUUUUAUGAUGUUUGACCCCAGAAUUUGUAUUUGUUGUAAAUGGAAAAUUUAUACAAGCAUGUUUGUAAUUUAGAAGGACAGAGCUUUAUGGGUUGUCUUCAAAUGGGGGCUAGGAACACUGACAGUGAUGGGAGUAUAUGCUAAUCUUUGGGGUCAUCUCCUCCUUGUGGUCGCAAAAUACUUUUAAGAUGUGUAAAGAGUUUCAGUUGCCAUUUACAGCAAAAUGGAAUCAGACAGUCCUGUACAGAAUUCUGCAUAUUAUAGCUGAGCCUUCUGCAGGUUGCAUCGAUGGGGAAAUAUAUUGGCCUUUCUUCAACAUGUUCAUAUUUUGCAAGUAAGUAAGUACUAGAUGGUAGCACUUGAG
rnacentral:lncRNA from 1 species